GUGGGUGUGCAGGAGUGGUUAUUAGGCAUGACUAGAAAUCAUGUGGGUUUUACCCUCGGAAGUUCGAAUCCUGCCGCUCAUG
rfam:Ipomoea nil DNA, scaffold: scaffold2283, cultivar: Tokyo-kokei standard.